UUUUAACCCAAGGGUGCUUUACCACUGAACUACAUCUCCAGUCUUUUUUGUUUUUUAUUUUGAGAUAGGGUCCACUAAGUUGCUCAGGGCAUUGCUAAGUUGCUGAGGCUGACCUUGAAGUUUCAAUCCUCCUGCCUCAGCCUCUCAAGCCACUGAGAUUACAGGCAUGUACCACUGCGCCUGGCAGAACUAUAUAUCAUAAAUUUAUGACAUAUAGUUAUCUAAAGGUUGAUAAUGGAGGUGGUAGUUCAUCUUCAUUAACCACUUAACAUAUCAGGUGAUAUCUUUGUAUGCAUUAAUUUAUUUGGUCCUCAAAACAACUUCUUCAAGAAUGGCAUUCACUGCAGUGAAUCCUAUGUAGUAAUUACCACAGUUUACAAGUGUGUAAACUGAGGCACCAAGAGGUUAAGAAAAAAUACUGAACAGAAAGUAGGGUAACCAAAUGGUCCUGUUAGUUUAUACCCCUUAGCAUGUCUGCAAAGCUAGUUUGUGUUAAAAUAAGCAUUUGAACUCCUUGUUCCAGAAUCUGUGUUUCUAAACCCUUUGCUAAAUGUCAUUUCUCAAAUCUCAUGUCACUAUAAAAAAGUUUCCUCAUUCUUUUCUUUAUCUCUGAAUAUUAAUUUAUCCCAUAAUUUUUUAAACAUUAUUUUAUAGUUUUUUUUUAGGUGGACACAAUAUCUUUAUUUUUUAUUUUUAUUUUUAUGUGGUGUUGAGGAUCGAACCCAGCACCCCGCACAUGCCAGGUGAGCACGCUACCGCUUGACCUACAUCCCCAGCCCAAUUUGUCCCAUAAUUUACUUCAGAUAUUUCUCUAUGUGUUUGCUUGUGUGAUACCAUUUUACAUAUUUAAUAGGAUUUCUGCAGGAUAAAUCUCUCCACAGUGAAAUUAAUCAUUGAAGGGGCCAACUCUUUCUUCCCUUUUUUUUCCAAAUUGAAGUAAAGCACACUGAUCUUAAGCGUAUGGAUUAGUGACAGAUUUACAUGCAAUGCACACAUUUAGCUACCACCGGCAUCAAGGUUUGUACCUCAGCACUCAGUAGCCCCUGUGUCUCUUUCCAUUCAGUUCCUACCAUCAUCUCAAGAGGUGCCUACCCUCUGGUGUCUGGCUAAAACUUACGAGCAAAUAUAUUCCAUGUUCUUAUCUUUCAUAUAAUUGGAGCUACAGCUUGUCCUCUGUUUGUCUUAUUACAACAAUGAGAUUUAUCUUUGUCUUUGCAUGUAGUAGCAGUUUUUUCUCUUCCAUUGCUAGGUCGUAGUUCAUUGAAUGUACCAGUUUUUCCAUUUUAUCGCCAGUGAACAUUUGGUUAUCACAUACAUAUCACAUUCCCUGAUUAUUCACAUACAUGUCUUUUAGUGGACAUGCAUGCUCAGGAGUGGAAUGGCUCUCCAGGUGUUCGGCUUUAGUAGCUAGUGCCACCUGAUGGCAGCAGGACUGAGUGGUCCUGUUGGUUUAUACCAGUGGCAGCAAUGAAUGUUGCAAUUGCUCUACCUUUUCACAGAUUCUUGGUAUUGUCAGUCUUUAAUUUCAGUGUUUUUUGGUGGUGGUGAUGUCAUUGUAACCCUGAUUUGUAUCUCUGAUGACUGGAGAGGUUUCCUUAUUGAUAGUUGGGUGUUUCUUGGUGAAGCUUCUACAAAGGUUUGCUGACUUUUAAUUGGAGUUUUGGAGGAAUUCUUGAUGUGGGUUCUGAGUGUAAAGUCUCCUCUGCUGGAUUAAGCAUUGCAGACAUGCCCUCUCUCUCUUAACAGUCUUUUAAUGAACAGUUUCUUAAUUUUUCUGAAGUCUGAUUUCUUAGUUUUGGGUUUGUUUUUUGUUUGUUUGUUUGUUUUUUUUGUAGUAGUAGUAGUAGUAGUAGUAGUAGUUUUUUUAAUGUCCCAAUUAAGAAAUCUUAGCCUGUCCCACAGUUAUGAGGAUCUCUCCUUUGUUUUCUUCAAGGAG
rnacentral:lncRNA from 1 species